rnacentral:lncRNA from 1 species
AAAAGAAAGAAAAAUAUGGCUAAAAGUUUUCUCAGCAGAGAGAUGACAAAAUAAUAUUACAAGGCAAACCAAGUGAGUAAUGAAGUACUUUCUUUUCCUAUAUAUUUUUCAAAUGUUCUGCCUUCAAAUUCUGAUCGCAUGUUUGCAAGUGCCUAUUAAAAGGAAGAGCCUUUUAAGUCUUCCCAUUUCCUGAAUUUAAAAUAUAUCAUAAAGAGAAAUAAAGAUGGAUUUACCAUUUGUUCGAUAAAUCGUUGUCGUCCAGCAUGGGGGAGUCCCGCUUGAAGCAAUUGUAGAUGAAAAAGAACCACCUGGGAAACAUAAUAAGACACUUUAUUAUUUCACGGUUACCAUUAAAGGUUGAUAGUGUUUGAAAUUUGAAGUACCUGGGGAGAGUUGGAUAUAUCUCUAGGUAAGGAAUGUGGGAUAUUUUGUGCCAGUAUGGUCCAAAGACACAAGAUCUUUGCGACUCAGUUAUGACCCAAAAUAUCUUUGGACACCCAGAGAUCCAAAAUUGUGAAAGUGAAAGAGUCGGGGCCACUGGAAUAGAUGCCAGCUUUGGACAAUUCCAGAGUUGAAGACAUUGAAGAGAGGUGAGGAAUUGAAAGCCCUUGCUGCUCAGUUUCUUCAAAUUUGGGAAGCACCCAAUUGUGAGAUGAGUGAGAGAUUCGGGGAGCAGCAUCUCCAUAUCCAUAUCUGUGUCUCCUUCGGGUGGAAACGACACCACAUAUGGGUCUUCGCCAUCGACCCACAACAUUGUAAGAGAGGUGAGCCUGUGCAACAACUCCCACAUCGGCUUACAAUUCUUAAUUCCGCCGAUUACAAGUGAUGUUAGGUUGGAGGGAAAGGAAGUGAAAUUUAAACCUUCACCGUAAUCAAUAUUCAAUUCCUGAAGACAGUUGAGAUUGCCCAUAUCCGGUAACAUCUCCAAUUUGUUGCAAUUUUUUAUGAUGAUUCGUCUCAGGCUGGAGGCGGCUGUUGUUGUUGGCGAAAGCAAACCCUCACCACUCAGGCUCGGGAUGGAAACCAGACUCCCACAAUCAUAAAUCUGUAAAGUUUGAAGAUUGGUGAGGUGGCAUAGGCCCUCCGGUAUGGAUUUCAGAUUUUGGCAAAAACUGAUGCUAAUAUAUUCAAGACAAUAAUUAGUGUUGUCGUGGGAGAACCCAUCGAACGUUAUUAACUGCAGCUCUCCACAAUGGGAUAUGUGAAGGCUUUUAAGCGCCUUGGGAAACAACUGGGCUCUCAAUGAUAACGACGUUAGAGAUUCACAUUCCCGUAUAUCCAAGUAUCGAAGAGAAAUAUGAGAAGAAGUGGAAGACGAAGAACCCACCUCCUCCUCUACAAAUGACUUCAAACUUUUACACCGCAUUAUCUUUAUUCUUCUUAGAUUUGGGGGAAUCUGGUAUUUUGCAAAAUACAGCAACGAAUCACACUCCUCAAUCCUUAUGACUUCAACGGAAGGAGGAAAACCAACAUCUGGAAAAGAAACCAGACUUGAGCAUCCAAUUAUUUGAAGGUCUUGAAGAGCCGUUAAGUGGUGCAACCCUUCUGGUACCUUCGAAAGACUUGCACAAUAGUUUAAUUGUAGAUAUUUAAGCUUGCAAGUCAAUAUUUGCAAUUGCAGCAAUUCCUCUGCUUCUUUUCCCAGCUUUUCAAGGAGGGAAGAGUUGCCUGAAAUAACCAAACGAUGAAGAGAAAUCAAGUGUUGCAAUACUCUAUCCUCAUUCUCCAGUGAAGAUGUCAGCUCCUCACAUCCGCCAAUCGUCAAUUUUACAACCUUCCUUAAUCCUUUGGUGAAUUCCCCUGUUUGGAACCUCACCUCUUUAAUAUUUGAAAGUUGCAAGGACUUUAAUAACUCAAACUCAACCCCACUUGUCUUCAGCACCGCUUUGCAGCCAUCUAUCCAUAAUCGACCAAUUUGUUUAUAGUUGGAAAUUGAAAUCACCAAUUCCUCGCAUUUAAUAAUUGUAAGUCUUGCUAAAGAAUCAAGGUUCUCUGGCACCUUACCCUCCAAUUGAGGACAAUUUCUGAUUGAAAGAAACUUCAAGCAAGGGAAAACAUCAAUUCCCCGAUCCCCCACAAAAGGAACCCAUUUCUUCCAGUGUUGCAUAUCCUCAAACUCAAGAGUCUCCAGUACUGGAAAAGGCAAGCUACCCUCCCCAUAAAACUCAGGACCGACACUUCUCACUGCAGCCAUUCCUGUAAUAUAAAGUUCUUUGAGCAAAGGCAGUUGCCCAAGGGGUGGCAAGAUUUGACAAUUUUUACAUUUGUCUAAGCGUACAUGCACCAUAGUGGAGAAUAAACGAUCUCCAAUCCAUGUUGAAAAUUCUAAUCCAGCAUAACCCUUGAUGAUGAGUUUUUUAAGCAUUCUAUGAGGUUCUAAUCCGUUAAGCACGCCUAAUUGUGUUUCUUGUGUGGCACUCGACCAUUCUAGCACCAAUUCAUCUACUCUCUCCUUGCAUUUUAAGUCGGCCCUCUGUGCAUCCUCAGCAUCGAUCACAUUCUCUAAUCUUGAGAGCCGUAAUGUCCCUCGGAGAUGGAAUAGGGACCUUAUCUCUCUUAUACCCGAUUGAUCACUACCUUUACCCACAACAAAAUUAGACAAAGAUUGUAGAUUUGUCAACCGACCUAGCUGUGGAGGCAUUGCAUAUUCAAAUGAGUAGUAGAGAUGACGCAGAUUCAAUAGAUUCCUCAAGUUGAUAGGCAGUGCCUCCAAAUAACGACAACCUUCCAAUAUCAAUGUCUGUAAGUUGUAAAGAGUGGUGGUUGAUUCAGGCAAACAUUCUAUCUCUGUGUGAGAGAGAUCAAGAUACCGCAAAUGCUUCAAUUUACCAAUUGAAUUUGGCAGCUCAGUUACUUGAUAGCCAUUGAAAGAAAGCACCCGCAAGUAUUGCAAUUUUGGCAAUAAAUCAAAAGUAACCUUACGGCUUAGAUAAUUUGAAGGAUGAUCAACUGAAAGUGGUAGGAAGGUUCGCAAAUGUUUCAUUUCAGAAAAUGCCUCAAAUCUUUUAACCACGUCAUACUUACCAGAAAUGUAGGAAGCAUGGCGGGCCUUCGUAAAACAUCCAAGUUGUACAUGAUCGCUAUUCUGCUUAUCCUCCAAUCUAACACAAAUAUCUCCUGCUGCCCACUGUGCCAAACCAACAAUGAGGUCAUGCAUUACGUACUUUGAAUUGUUCUUGCUUGAUUUCUGAAAUAAUGACCUCGAUAAGAGCUCCUGAAAAUAGUCAGUUCCUAAAUCUUCCAUUUGCUUAUUAUGUUCUGGUUGUGGUUGAAUCAAACCCUCUGCCAUCCACAGAAGAAUCAAUUGAUGCUCACUAAAUUCAUAGUCAUUUGGAAGUAUCGAACAAUAGGCAAAGCAUCUUUUCAAAUGUGAAGGAAGAUAGUGAUAGCUUAAUCGUAAUACCGGCAGUAUGUCAUGCUCAUUUGAUAGACUCCAUAAUUUGUUGUUCAAUAUUUCCUUCCAUUCAUUCAUCUCUUUACGAAGUAAAAGACCGCCAAGAGUCCUAGCAGCCAGAGGCAAUCCUCUGCAUCUUGAAACAAUUUUCUCCUUGAGUAACUCGAAAUUUGGUGGUAUAUCUCUGUUAACAUUCCUGAAUGCAUGCUGCUCAAAUACUUCAAAACAAACGUCAUUUUUCAUAAGCUCCAAAUUAUGAACUAGAGUGCCAGCUCCCAUCAUUUUCGAAACUUCUGCAUCUCGCGUUGUCACAAUUAUCUUGCUUCCUGCUGCUCCAUCGCGAAAGGGGGACUGCAGUUUCAUCCACAGACCAUAGCUACAUGUGCCCCAAACAUCAUCUAAAACAAUUAAAAACUUCUUUCCAGCUAAUUCCGUAUGCAGAUACUGUUGAACCUGAUUGAAAUCUUCUGUAGGAUAGUGCCGGGAUGUGACUGAUUCGAGAAUUUGCUUUGUCACUCUUUCUAGGUUGAAGUCAUCAGACACGCAUACCCAAGCAGUUGGUUUAAAUUGAUCGGUUGCAACAAUUUCAUUGAACACUUGUGCAGCAAGUGUUGUCUUUCCGACUCCAGCCAUGCCAACAAUGGCAACUACAUCGAAAUUGACGGCACCACGCUCUUGUUUCGACACAAAUUCAACAACCCGCCUUUUGUCUUCGUCCCUUCCAAUCACAGGUCCAUCUGGUUGACUGGAACUGGGAGGUAAAUUUUGACGUGCCGUAGUGGACGACGUCGUCCCAGUAAUGAUAUUCAAACUAAUAAGCUGGUCCUUUUGCUGAGAUAUCUCUUGUAAACGCUGAGUAAUCUUCUGUAUUUCUGAGUUCAUUUUGUAGUUGAAAACACCAUUAGGAACUGAGUUCCAGACCCUUCUUGCGGUAUAAUGCUCUGUCUCCCGUUUGAGCGUUUUAGUAGCAUAUUUGUCCAAUACGUCUUCCACGUCAUAAGCUAAGUCCCUGAGAUCACCCAGCCAAAGCUUCAGCGGCUUGCUCUCGGUGAUUAGUUGCCUCUCCUCCGCCUCAUUCAGAACCGCCCCAAUUGCAGACAAGGUGGCAGUCCAUUUCUGCAGCUUUUGGUCGACGCCUUUUAUGAGUCCGAAGUACUUGAACACCUCCCGACGCGCCAACUUGUCGACCAGCACUUGAAGGAAAGCCACAAGAUAAGCCUCUCCCAUAGUUUCUUGAAUUAGCAGGGAGAAGAAGCACUGAAAGAGUUCUGAACAGAAACAAGCAAUCAAAGAAAACGUAAGGAAGUCUGAGCAAAACAAAUAAAUACAAGAAACUAAAAGAAACAAAGUCUGCCGUACAAACAGAAUAAAUCAGAAGUACCUGCAGUUUAAGUAUAUGAUAUAUAUCAACAGCAGAUUUCUUCACGAAUUACCAAAUACCGAAGGUGUCACAAUGAACAAGAAGGAAAAUUCAAAGGCAAUACACAGUUACACACUUUUAGAACAAAAGAGAUCAAGAGAGCCAGAACCAAGACAUAAUAAAUAUGAAGAUGGAUGAGUGUGGAAGAUGGAUCAAACUUAUGUGGAAGAAAGUAAUUAUGGGUUUGAGAAUUUUGAGUAUGAGAUGUUAUGAUGAGAAGAUAUCUCUUUUGUGUUUUUGUUUUGGGUCAAUGGAAAAGACUCUGAACCAAAGUCUGGGGUUAAAAACACAAAAGAGAAGAAAAUAGCAUUCGUCGUAUGAUAGACAAAGAAAACGCAAUGCAAAUUCCUCAGAGUUACAGAAAUUACUGUGUUUGAUUUUUGGAUUCCUUUAACUGCUGCGACCAGCACGUUACAUCGAAAAAGUAGAAAGCUUUUUUUGUUUUUUUCGGUCAGAAGGAAAGUGGAAGCUGAUAAGUGUGUCUAGUCUAAUUGCCGGGCGUCCUUUGUCUUAUUAUAUUUGAUUCUGACAUGACUCACUCACAUCUUUCACCAUUAAAUUUUGAUGAGGUUCUCCCUCACUCUCAUUACAUUGAUGAGGUGAGCAACAAAUCUGGACUGAAGAAGUAGAACAGAGCUGCAGUCUUCCUAUAAGUGAGUUUUCAAUCAAGUCUAGUGUUAGUCAAAUGGCGCAGCUGCAGCACUGCUUCUGUCUGACUCUGUUUUCAACUCACUCACAUCACACUUGCUUUUGUCCAACCCCGUUAUUAAUUCACCAAUAAAAUUUAUUCUUGUUAUAAACUAAAGAGGAAUUUGAGGAGAGAAUUGAGAGAAAGAGAGAUGAAUCUUUUCUCUCUUCACUGAAUGUUCUAUCUGUUCUGAAUGUGUAUAUUUACAAGGAUGAAGAAGCCUAUUUGAAGGCAUUUGGUUGGGCUCUAUCAUACCGCUAUGAUACAAGAGGAAGCUUCCUAGGGGGGAAGCUUCGCAACUGAUUUACAACACUCCCUCUUGGAGACCACAAAUGAUACAGAAUAUGUCUCGUUAAAAACCUUGCCAGUAAAAAUCCAGUGGGACAAAAACUGGUCAAAGGGAAAAAGAGUACAUAAUGAUGUGUAACAUAAAAUUCUGUGUAUAUUGACGCGCGUGCGACACUGCCUCGUUAAAACCUUGCCAGGAAAAACCCAGUGGGAUAAAAACCCGGACGAAGGAAAAAGAGUACGGUGUUUGAAGAUCUUUAUUGAUGGUGCGCUCCCCCUGAUGCUUGGCAAAAUAUCUUUAAGUCAUACUGUUGAUCAGCUUUCUGAAUAUCGUAGUUGACACUGCUUCUGCGAGUCAAUCUUUGAGCGACACUGCCUCGUUAAAACCUUACCAGGAAAAAUCCAGUGGGAUAAAAACCUGGAUGAAGGAAAAAGAGUACAGUGUAUGAAGGUCUUUAUUAAGACCUUUCUCCCCCUGGUGAAUAUCUCCCCCUGAAAAAUUUAGGACUAGCUUUUGUCCAGUAAGCGACCACUAAAAUUUUCAUAGUAUACCCUAAGACCCCUGAGCGACACUGCCUCGUUAAAACCUUACCAGGAAAAACCCAAUGGGAUAAAAACCUGGAUGAAGGAAAAAGAGUACAGUGUGGAGCUGAGCUCUAUCUGGUCUAGUAUACUUCUGGAAAAACAUUUAAGGACCAACGGAUAAUCCUCAUAAAAAUGCUUCAAUACUUUCUUAGUAUAAGCAAGAAUCUCGUUGGCACAAUGCUCGAUCCUUAAGUCGAGACAAAUAUUUCGUGAAUUUUGCAGAAGCUUUAAUGUGUUGCAAUCACAUGAUAAUCAAUGUACUCACUGAGGUAAUUUAUGCAUAUUAAUAUUGAGUACAAAUUUUGUGCUUCAAGCACAUGUCCUUUAGGGACUUGCUCUAUGCAAUAUCAAUCCUCUCAACGGAUUUUGUCUAAAAAGGAUUAAGCUUUAUGACACAUUAUAUAGCUUUAACCCAUCUAUUUAUACAUCUUUUAGGGAAUCGCUUCUGGCGAUAUGCUCCGUGCAUUUAAUAACCCUUAAAGAUAACAUGUUGGUCUCCGUAAAUGUGCAAUAAAGGGGCACAAUUGAAUCUAUAAAUAUGGAGAAAACCCAACAUUCCUUGUUUCUGCCAGAAACAUUGUGUCAUACAAAGUAGGUAUAUUCCCUUUUAUUCCGAACACCCAAGUAUAACUUUCAGUAUUGACAAAUUUGGGGUUCGUACUGUGGGUUUAUUCUUUCACGUUCAUUCUCAUUUAUAAUGGAAUUACCUCGUUCCAUUUUGGCCAAUGAUAUUGUCGACAUUUAAUAAUUGAACGUGGUUCCAAUCAACACAGCCCAUUGAUGAUUUGAGUAGCUACUCCAAAACCAAAAAUUGUCAUUCAUCAAUUCAUGAUCCCACCAUUCUCGUUUGCAUGCACAUGCAUCAAUUAUAAGCAUUUCUUUGCUUUUGGGUACCCAAGCCACUGCAGAGGGCUUUUAUUAUGUGAGAAUGUGGAUUAUAACCUCCAAUGGAGCGUUAUUUUAUAGUAGGGCGUGGAAAAUCUCCAUUUAGGGAGUUGGAACAUUUAGAACCCAUAUAUCUGUCAUGCUACAGGCAUGCCACAGAUUAAUACAUACAUGUCAAUUAAUUUAUGGGACUUUAACCCAUAUUAUGGGACUUUAACCCAUAUAAUUUGCUACGCAUUAGGCGUGCAUAAUAUCAAUAUUGACAUGUCAAAGGAUUGUCCUUUCGGGACUUCAAUUCACAUCAUUUGCAACAGGCGUGCAUCAUAUUGAUCACUGCUAUACCCAUGUUAUGUUCUUAUGGGACUUUAAUCUGUGCAGUGUAUUAUCAAUGUAUCCAACUUGCAAUCUGUAAAAUUUGCGUUAAUAAUUCAUGGAUACAUACAAGCCAUUCUUUUGGAACGGACUUAUCUCCCCAUUUGGUUACCUUUCAAGAUAAAAUAUCAAAUAGGUAUAUAAGCAUAAAAUAACACAAGUAUUGCUUACAUCCUUAGGUGGGAGAAACUUUUUCUCAAGUAUCAUUCAAGCUCAUAUCAGCCCAGUAAAUAUAAUGUAGCGCUUGAUGAUCUAGUUAUAUCCUGCAAGAGCAAAAAUCACAACUCUUUUGCCUCUGUCAAAACAAAUAACCCUCAUAGUUAGGAUUACUUCAUGGAUUCAUUCUUCAGAUGUUCAUUCUAAAGAAAUAAAAUCUCUUAUGAACAGAGAGUUAUAAAAAGAGAAAAAAUGCAAAAAUAAUGUGAUAUUGAUUGCAAGAGAAGGUAAGCAAUCAGGGAAGGAAGCUGGUGGGAGCAGACAAUAAGCUCUCAUAUCUCCUAGUCUAGAAGAACCUCAGGAGAUUAGAGCAUAAGGCCGCCUUUACAAUUCCCUGAUCUUGCAGAAACAUGAUCAGGGAUAGUCUUGCUUCCUGAAUGGAUGAUCAGAGAUAGUCUUGCUUCUCAGGCAUAUUAAGUGCUUACUGAUAAGAAAAACAAGUAGAUAUCGCAUCACCAGGUAUGGAGUAAACUGGAUGUCUUUUACAAAGAAAAUUUCGUUAGUAACACAUUUAUACACAAAUACAAUGAAUAGGUAGAACCGGUGAAUUUCAAAUUAACCAUAGGAAAAUUGCGAGAUUCUCAGGAUACCUUUGAAAAAGUAGUUCCGUGAAAUCCGUAAAGCAAGAUCGGCGUUGAAAAUAAUACUUGAAAACGCCGAAAGUGCCGACAGGCAUUAUUAGAGGCCACGUGAAGUUUUGGACUCUAGGAAAGAAAAAGAGAAAUAUGGGGAUCCGAGAAGAUAUUGGGAUCCUGAAAAAUAGUAGCCAUAUUUCCUUUUAUAGAUAUUGCCUUUGCAAAACUUGAUUGGAGCAACUGCGUUUCAACUCAACUUCCUUCAGAGGCUUCCAGAACAUAAUGUAUUUUUAUAGAUUUUACAGGGCCUGCACCUUCAUUGCAGGUGGAAAAAAUCUAUCUGUUGUAUGUUCCUGUUAUAAUAAUGGCACAUAUUCUUAAACUUGCACCUGUGGUUUUUACGUCUUUUCAAAAUGACGGUUUGGAACCUUAUGCCUUAUAGGUUCAAAUAACCACAUUGUCUCUCCCAAAUUUCAUAUUUUAUCGCAUGGUAGCCCGGAACUUUUGGCCUGGGCACAAACUCAGAAUUUAUUUGCCCUUUUCAAAUGGACAUGAAAUGUGAAUUGAGUAAAAGCCAUGAUAAUAUCGCAAUAUAAUAGUGAAGAGCAUUAACUACUAUAUACCCACAACUUCAAGUUUAGGAUCUCUCAUAUAUUUGGAUCCAUGGGCUUCCGGCCCAGAUAUAACAAAAUAUGUGGGGAGCCUCAAUUCAUUAUUUGAGGUUUAUAUUGAUAUUAUCCAUUUCGCGGUGUAUUCUUAACAACUGGAAUUCACAAAAUAUAUUUCUUCCUUGAAGUGUCGAUUAUAACAAAAUCGAACUUUAAAUUCAUAAAUUAAAUUGCUUGCUGUAUGGACGUUAAUCCCGCACCAUACCUUAAAUAAAUGUAAAUGUGCGGUAAAGUAAACGUGCUUGUAUGGGCACUAAUUCUGCUCCAUACAUUUAAAUAAAAGCAAAGGCGUGGACGAUAAACCCGCACCACCCUUUUAAAUAAAUACUGUCGUAUGGGUAAUAAUCCUACACCAUACAGUAAAUAAAAUAAAUGUGCGGUAAAGUAAAUUUGCAGUAAAUUAAACGUGCUUGUAUGGGCACUAAUUCUGCUCCAUACAUUUAAAUAAAAGUAAAGGCGUGGACGAUAAACCCGCACCACCCUUUUAAAUAAAUACUGUUGUAUGGGUAAUAAACCUACACCAUACAGUAAAUAAAAUAAAUGUGCGGUAAAGUAAAUUCGCAGUAAAUUAAAUUCAUAAAUUAAAUUGUUAGUAUUAGUAACGGUCUCCCACUGAUAAUAUGUUUAGUAUUACCAAGGGUCCAUUUUUGUUAAUAGUUAGUAAAAGAAAAGCAGAUAAAUAUAAUAGGAAAUAAUAGGAAAGAUAAGGGAGCAGAAAUCUUAUCGUUUAUUCUUUCACUUAUGCCCUUGCUGAGUGAUUCUUUUUUUCUUUUUCUUUUUUUUUUUUCGGUGGGUUUUCACAAGCUUUCCACUAAGCUGAUCACUUUUUUUAGGCAUGCCUGCUAGAGCGGAAAGACAUCAAUUUCAUCAUUGUCUUCCACUGAGGACAGACACCAAGACAGCAAAUUUGAGUGGAACAAGUGCUGUCAAUAUCUUUAAAGAAGAUAUGGGAUACAUCCAUUCAGCACAGUCGCACCAAACCAGAGGCAUAAGCUCAGUGGUCUCAUCAGUGGCAUAACCAAACAUGUGACCCUGGUCUCCAGCACCAAUUUCCUCAGGCCUCUUGGUGAGGUGGCCAUGGACACCCUGAGCGAUAUCAGGGCUCUGAUGCUCAAUGUUAACCAAGACCUUGCAGUUGUCAGCAUCAAGGCCAACAUGAUCUGGAACAAAUCCAAUCGUACGGCAGGUGUCACGUACAAUUUUCUCAUAGUCCACUUUGGCUUUGGUUGUAAUCUCUCCAAAGACCAUGACCAUGUUGGUCUUGGUGCAAGUCUCACAGGCAACUUUGCUGUCGGGAUCUUGCUCAAGGCAGGCAUCAAGAACUGCAUCAGAAAUCUGAUCACAGAGUUUAUCAGGGUGUCCCUCAUUCACAGACUCAGAAGUAAACAGGAAAGUGUCCAAAUAGCUCUCGAUUUCCAUAGCUAUCCCAUGCAUAUGCAGAGGUAUCAAAGCCGGCGGCUCACACAUGCCGUGAACGUACGGCUGGUAGCUCGGAAUGUCCGGAUUAUCCACGACUGAGGGGUCGGGUACGACCGCGUAUACCAUCGGAUCCUCCGGCAAGUACGACUCCGAUGACCUGGUCAUCGCCGACGGGUCUGGAACCGACUCUUUGCCGUAGAACACCCGCUUCGAGAGCCCGAGGUCGUACUCGACGCAGCUGGAGAACUCGGCGGCCAUAUCGCCUGCGGAGGUUUUCCGGCGAGGGUGAUGUCCUCGCAGCUAGAGGUGGUGAUGGUUUUCAAGGAGAUGCGGCGUGCAGGAGGUCGAGCAUGUCACCGUCCACAAGGUCACCAUCACAGCUCGUCUUCUCCAGCUGAUCCGCCAACUCUGCCUCAAGAACAUCCACGUCAGAGGACGACGAUGAUGGCAGAGCAUCAGUAUCGUCUUCAUCCCCAUGUCGGAGGACGACGAUGACGGCAGAGCAUCAGCAUCGUCUUCAUCCUCCUCCUCCUGGCUUCCGGAACUUUGAAACGAGACGAACUCGAAACCGUCAUCAUCGCAGGAGUCGCAGUCACGUGAGAAGUGCAUGCUCAUGGCUUGGUCGGAUGUCAAAGAUCGGUUUGUGGCCUUUUCUUCUGCGGAUCGUUGGUGUGGCUGUUGCCCAAGUCCCUCAAGGCAGGUGAGGUCGUCUUCAAUGGAGUAGCAGAGGAGGGAGUUGUGGUCUCUGCCCGCCGGUGUUGUUGUUGCUGGUUUUGAUGAUCUGGGCGCUGGUGAUCUUGCACUGACAUCAACAUAUUUCCAACACAAAACAAGCUUCCUUCAUAGUCCACCCCAUUCACUCUGAAUCUUGAGCACGGGAGACGCAAGAAUAUGCAGAGACUAUGAAUUGAUCAUGCCCUUUGGUCUCUUUGCUGGGUGCGCUUGGCGCUUUUGCUGUCGAGGGCCUCACUGUGGUGGCAUGGCAGGACGCUGGCAAGCAAUCCGUGUGGCUCUGUACAAAACUGGGUUGGUUUUGGGUGAGCAAUUUGGGGCUUGGUUUCGAACUGGGUGUCUUGAUCAAUUUCUGGGAUCAAGAAAUUAGAGAUUCUGAAAAUACUGAUCAGAGCUGGUGAUGUGAUUUUGAUAUUUGUUGCUUGCUGCUGUUGGUUUAUCUAAAAGAGUUUCAUCAGAGAACUCAGCCGGUUAAAGACUCGUGCUGAUAACGUGUUAUAAACUAAAGAGGAAUUUGAGGAGAGAAUUGAGAGAAAGAGAGAUGAAUCUUUUCUCUCUUCACUGAAUGUUCUAUCUGUUCUGAAUGUGUAUAUUUACAAGGAUGAAGAAGCCUAUUUGAAGGCAUUUGGUUGGGCUCCAUCAUACCGCUAUGAUACAAGAGGAAGCUUCCUAGGGGGGAAGCUUCGCAACUGAUUUACAACAAUUCUGAAUAUAUGAACCCUUUCUUUGGACGACAACGACCGUGAAAUUGAUAUUUAGUUAGUUUAGAUAUUUAUGACAAAGUGAUAUUCAUGAGAUAAAUACAUCAAGGGCAAUAAAUUCAUCAUUCCCUUACAUUUGGUUAGUUUAGAUAUUAAUGAUCCAUUUGGAAAUUAGGAGCAAUAUUUUCAAGAGGUAUAGAGAUUUUUAUUAGAUUAAAUAUGAACAAGAUUUUACAAGCACUGAUUGUCCUUUUUCAACACGCUAGACAAACAUAGGAAGUUUUCUACAUUAAAAAAAUAAAGGAAAAAAAAUAUAGAACUGAGUUUUCAAUCAAGUCCAGUGCUUGUCUAAUGGCCCUGCUCCAGUUGCUUCCUUAUCAUUUUGUUUGAUAAUGAAAUGGUCUUUUUUCAACUCAUUCACACUUGCUUUUGUCCAACCACGUUAUGAAUUCACCGAUAAAUUCAUUGCCUAAAUGUAUGAGCGAUAAAUCAACUUGUUUGAGCCCAAUUUUCUUCAGCGCAAAAUUCAUAAUAUGGAUCUUUAUAUUGGUCACAUGAUUAUUUCAUUAAAUUUAAGUGAAGUUACUAUUAAGAUGAAUCAUGUGAGUAAUAUGAAGAUCCACAUCUAUGAUCUAUAUAUAGUAUCAUCACCGUAAAACAACUCUUUAUUUACAUAUCCGGAAUUAAAUAUCCUAUUUGUGCCUAAUUUUUACAUAUCCAGAAUUGAAGUCGUACUGGGCCAAUGUUAUAGCCUGAGGAAUAAUAUUACAAGGUAAACCCAAACCCAGUGUGUAAUUGCAACACCUAAACUAUUUAACAUGUCAGAAUGAUCUUUCUUUACUCAGAAUUAUAAUCCUUGACUGUUUCUAAUUUAAUGAUAGUGUACCAUUGCCAAAUAAUAUAUAAAGGCACAAGCUUUUCCAACCGGUCUUAUAAAUUUAUUCCGCCACUCUGAGGCUCUCUAGUCUGCUUUAUUGCCAUUGAAAGUACAUUUCAUUUUAAACUCUACAAUAUUAUAUGCAUUUAGUGAGAGAAAUUGGAGUAUUAUUAGUACAUUAUUAGAUUGUUUGUCUCGUGUCGUGUCAUAAGUUUUGCAUUGCUUUAACCUCUCAAAUCAUGACAUAUAUAGAUGCAAGCUGUCGAGCAAAAUAAGGACCUAGCAUAAAACAUGACCUAUUUUAUGGUUUAAAGCACAACGGUUGUAAUCGAAGUAGAACUAAGAUAAAUACAUCAAUGGUUAUAAAUUCUCUUAUCUUACAUUUGGAUAUAUGAAAAUAACUCGGGAUUUAGUUUAAAGUCGGGAAUUGAAAAGAAGAAAUAAUUCGGGAUUUAGCUCAAAGUCUUCAUCCAAAAGGAAGUUUAUGAAUUUGCUCAUUUCAACCUUGAUUAUGAGCAAAAACCAAGACAUAAUAUAUAUGAAGAUGGAUGAGUGUGGAAGAUGGAUGAAACUUAUGUGAGAGAAACCAAUUAUGGGUUUGAGUAUUUUGAGUAUGAGAUGUUAUGAUGAGAAAAUAUCAUUUUUCUUUUUCUUUUCGGUCAAUGGAAAAGACUCUGAAACAAAGUCAUUCCCCAAGACUUUUUAUCCUACCGACCCCGAAGUUAAAGAAAUUACUGUAUAUGAUUAUUUUGCAUUCUGCAUCACUGCCAUCACUACUCUAAUGGCCCUACAUUAAAAAAAAGGACCACAAAAAAAGUAGAAAACUGAUGACUUAGUUUUCAAUCAAGUGGCCCUACUCCAGUUGCUUCUUUCCGACUCUUUUGGAUAAUGAAAUGGUAUUUUUUUUCAACUCAUUCGCACUUGCUUUUGUCCAACUACCACGUUCUGAAUUCGCCAAUAAAUUUAUUACCGAAUUGUAUGGGCAAUAUAUGAACAUGUUUGAGCCUAGUUUUGUUUACCACGAAAUUUUAUAAUAAGAAUGUCAUAUAUGGAACUUUGACGUGAACUUUUAUAUCAGUCACAUGAUCAUUUUAAUUGAACUUAAAUAAAGUUACUAUUCAGAUGAAUUAUAUGAUAAAUAUAAAAGUCCACAUCAAUGAUCUAUAUGUGACACCCUCAUCAUAUCCAAAAUUAAAUAUCCUUUUUAGGCCUGAUUUUUACAUAUCCAAAAUUAAAGUCGUAGUGGGCCAACAUUAUAGCCUUAGGAAUAAUAUUACAAGGCAAACCAAGUGUGUAAUUGCAUCACCUACACUAUUUAACAUGUCAGAAUGAUCUUUCUUUACUCAGUAGUGUUUGCCAAAUAAUAAAUAAAUUUAUUCUGCCGCUCUGAGGCUCUAGUGUGCUUUAUUACCAUUGAAAGUAUAUUUCAUCUUAAACUCUAUAAUAUUAUAUGUUCAGUGAGAGAAAUGGGACUAUUAUUAGUACAUCACUAGAUUGUUUGUCUCGUGUCAAAAGUUUUGCAUUGCAGAAUGUACAAUAUGGAGAUUCCUUUUAAGGGAAGAUACGAGAUUAGAGGAUCAGGUAGAUGAACACAGUUCAUGAUUGUUGUAAGUGUUUAUACCCAGUUUUGGUAAAUGGAUCAAAAAUUGUCUAAAUGGCUAAAAGAAUAUUUUAAAAAUAAAGCCAGGACCAUUAGCAUUUGUCUUUUCUAUAAAGGUCAUCCUCUUCCUAACGGGCCUUUUUGAAUAAAUUAAUAAGAAUGCCCAAAUUGUAAAAAUCAGAGCCUUGUUUCGCACUACAGGUUAAAAAAUCGGUAAACGUGUUUUCUACGCCCACGUGAGAGGCUGAAUGGGAUUAUCACAUUUAAUGACGACUUGACCUCCUCAUCUCCCAGCAAGAAAACAAGCCGUAUUGAAGCCUCCGAAUCCAGAGAAGGAUCAAAUUGCCAACCAAGUCUUCAAGUACAAAGGAGUCAAAUCAAGAGAGGUUUGCAAGAAAAACUGAUGGUUCUUGCCAGAAGCCUUCCAUCAUUCCCUCUAUGAACUGGUUAAGAUCAACAAACAAGCAGUUGACCUUGAACCACAAGCCAAAGGUCUUGUUGCAGUUUCCAUCAUUACAGGCUCUUUCCGCCUCUAUAAAUAAAGAAUGUCUACUUCAGAAGAAGAAUGUCUAUAUUGUAUAAACCCUGUCAACUCAACUGAACAUAGAAUCCUCUAGGUAACAAAAGUUAAGAGUCCAGUCGUAAGACCUAAAAACAAUGGGGUGACAUGCCAACACCAAAAGAACAUAAAAAAUUCAGAGUUAAAAGAAAUAAAAAGAAAACAAACGAUGAAGAUGUCAGCGCAAUCAAAUUGGUAUAUACAAUUCAGUGCCUAACCAACUGAGGAUUGAGGUAAAAAUAAAAAAAAAAUUAUGUAUAUGAAUAUGUAACACCUCACUGCUUGCGGUUCCUUAUUUAAGGCCCUGAAGCAUCAUGCCAUGCGGGAAAAACUAACUCUAGUAGCAAAUUGUACUGAACACACGUAGGAAAAUGUCCAUGUCUAUCAAAAUGAUCUUUCUUUACGGAGCGAUCCUUUGGUUGUUUGAGCUUGGUAGAUCUACAUUGAUUUGAAUUUUGUAUCAACAUUCAACAAUAAUAGAGAUGUAAAUUUUUUUCUCCGAAUAAUAUACAAAGGCACAAGCUUCUCUCCAACCAGUCUUAUAAAUGAAUUCUGAGGCUCUAGUGUGCUUUAUUGCCAUUGAAAGUUGUUAGUUUAAAGGAGAAGGAGUUUAGAGAAUGGUUUGUUUUAGUAUUUAGGACAAUAGAUUGAUGCGGAAUGGAAAUUUUUUUGAAAGAGUAACAAGGAAAUUUUAUUUGAAUGGAGGAGGAAAGUUACAAAGCUGCAAGGUAACAAGCGUGUAUAUAUAUAUAUAUAUAUAUAUAGGAGAGUCACCACCCUUCUGAAAGUGAAACAAUUUCUUUGGCGAGCGGUCUCUAAUAGUCUCCCUUCCUUCUUAAAUCUCUAUAAGCGUAAGUUGUCCUCUUCGUAUUUAUGUCCUAUUUGUUUGGAGAGUCCUGAAUCAAUUGAAUAUAUGCUAGUCCUUUGUCCUUGGAUAGCGUCUGUUUGGUUUGGAAGUGCAAUUGGCUAUCGUGUGGAUUUGCAAAGUUUUACUUCUUUGGAUAGAUGGUUGGGCAGUCUCUUGACAUGGGAGAGUAUGUUCUCACCCAAUUCUAUGUGGAAGGAUCGAUGGGCAGUCUCUUUUGUCGGUUGUUGCUUUCACUUGUUGGCAUAUUUGGAAGGAUCGAUGUAAAUUUGUUUACAAUGAUAUCCCAAUUGUGCCUGCAGCUACUAGAUCUCGUGCUUGUUUGGCGGUGUCAGAAUUUUGGAAUGUUACAAAGAAGCUAGUUCUUGGGUCAGUGGGUAUGCCUAUUCAAAUUUCUUCUCCUCAUAUCCUUCUUAUUGGCUACCCCCCAUUUCUUACUGAUGGGUCUUGGAAGUCUGCUUCUGCUAUGGCUGGAGUUGGAGUUAUUAUUCGGAAGAUUGCUGGUUCUUGUAUUGGGGGUCUUGUUGCUCAGGUGCGUGCCCAAUCUCCACUUAUGGUUGAAGUUUUGGCCCUGAAACAUGGUCUUUUGAGAGCUAAAGAGUUGAAUUUGGUUAAUGUUGUGGUGGAAUCUAAUUCUCAAGUGGCUAUUAAUUCUGUUCAGAGGGAUGUUUCUUCCUUUAAUUGGGAGUUGCAUCCUGUCAUUAAGGAUAUUAGGUUUAUUAAAGCCUAUUUCACAAAUCUGAAUUGGGCAUGGGUGCUCCGUGAAGCGAACCAGUCUGCGGAUGCCGUUGCCUCACUUGCCAAGAAGGGGAUGUGCUUGGAGUUGUGGCUUGUGUGACCUCCAUUCUCUCUGGUUCAUAUUUUAUCUCGAGAUAGUCUUCCUUGCCCUCCGCUUGAUGCUUAAUCUUUUGUUGUGUGGUUUUUCGUUUGUUUAGUUCUUUUGGCUUGUUUUAGUUCUUUGGUUUGGUAUGUCUGUUCUGUUUGUUUGGUUGGGUUUGGCUCCCUUUUGGGCCUUUGCCGGUUAACUUUUAUGACAUCUUUGUUGACCCAAAAAAAAUAAAAAAAGAGAGGGAAGAAUCACGGACUUUGUAUACAGUUAUGUCGGUUAGUUUAUUAUUUUACAGCUAUGUCGGUUAGUUUAUUAUAUUACAAUACUUUGAUUAUUUUAUACUAAAGCAUGCUUUUGAUAUCAAGAUAUUUUGGAGUCAACCGACUUUGUUAAGUUGGUUUGUUCAUUCUCAAUUAUUCUAGACUAUUCUAUAUUAUUCAAGAUUUUUCUAUGUUCUUCAAGGUAUAAGUGGGGAUUACUUUUUUAACAGAAGUCUACAUUUCGUUUUCAAUUGCUGUCUACAAUGAUAUACCUUUUGUUAAAGGAAAGAAUCAAGUCAUAUUUGAUAUGCCUGUUGUAAAAGUUUGAAGGUGGAGCCCACAGAGGAAGUUUCCUUGCAUCUUCCAGGAACUUUCCUUCCCUGUAUUUAUCAAUUCAGGAAGUUUCCUUGCAUCUUCCAGGAACUUUCCUUCCCUGUAUUUUACCAAAACCUUAGCCUAUAAAUAGGCAUAUCACUUGCAAUGGAAAGAGCAACCAACGGAGAAAAGAAAGAAAAGGGAGAAGAGAAAAGAAGAGAGAAGAAGAAGAGAAAAUAAGAGGGUAAGUAAGCAGAGAGAAAAUUCAGUGAGUCACACAUAUUGUAAACACUAUUGUAGUCAUAUUAUUAUAUAGUGAAAGGUUACUGUUGCUGCUCUCCGAGGACGUAGGCGUAGCCGAACCUCGUUAAAUACUGUGUCUCAUCUACUUUACGUGCAGCUCAGAAUUCGCACAUAUCCCAGGUUAUUUCAUAACACGUUAUCAGCACGAUAGUCUCUCCUUUUAUUUCUGAAAUUUUUCCAACUCAACACUAUAUAAUAUACUAUAUCUAUCUGCUUCUCUAUUACUAACCAUUAACAAAAAUGGACCCUUGGUAAUACUAAACAUAUUAUCAGUGGGAGACCGUUACUAAUACUAACUUUUUCUUAUUUUAUUCGGUGGUGGUUUUAACCCCACAUUUAUUUACUGUAUGGUGUAGGUUUAUUACCCAUACAUGCACCUUUACUUUAUCGCAAAUUUAUUUUACCUCAUAUUUAUUUUAUUUACUGUAUGGUGUAGGUUUAUUACCCAUACAACAGUAUUUACUUUUAUUUAAAUGUAUGGAGCAGAAUUAAUGCCCAUACAAGCACUUUUACUUUAUGAAUUUACUUAACCGCACAUUUACAUUUAUUUAAAGUAUGGUGCGGGAUUAACGUCCAUACAGCAAGCAAUUUAAUUUAUGAAUUUAAUUUACCGCACAUUUACAUUUAUUUAAAAGGGUGGUGCGGGUUUAUCGUCCACGCCUUUACUUUUAUUUAAAUGUAUGGAGCAGAAUUAAUGCCCAUACAAGCACUUUUACUUUAUGAAUUUACUUAACCGCACAUUUACAUUUAUUUAAAGUGUGGUGCGGGUUUAUCGUCCAUACCAGCAAAUUCAUAACACUUUACUUUUAUCAUCAAUUAAUAUACCUGAAUAAUGAGGACCUGAAAUUCCUAUUAAUAAGUGGCUUAAUAUCCCAGAUCUCGAGCCUAAAGUUUUGGAUGGCAAAUUUGGCAAAACUAGAGUUUGCUGCCUUGGACCUUUCCGGGGACAACUAUUUAUCAUGGGUCCUGGAUGCCAAAAUUCAUCUACGAGCCAAUGGCCUCGGACAAACAAUUGUAGAUGAGAAUGAUGCUUCGCCUGAAGAGAAUGCGAAGGCCAUGAUCUUUCUUCGCCGCCACAUCCAUGAAGCGCUGAAGAGCGAAUAUGUGGUGGUUGAUGAACCGUUGGUUCUGUGGAAAGCUCUAGGUGAAAGAUACGAUCACCAGAAGACGAUGACUCUCCCAAGAGCUAGAUACGAAUGGACCCACUUGAGAUUUCAAGAUUUCAAGUCAGUGUCCGAGUAUAACUCUGCUAUGCACAGAAUUACCUCAUUAAUGAGGCUAUGUGGGGAAAAUAUAUCUGAUGAGGAUAUGCUCGAAAAAACUCUGAGCACUUUUCAUGCUUCAAAUGUCCUCCUUCAGCAGCAAUACAGACAUAGCGGUUUCAAGAAGUACUCGGAACUUGUAUCUUGCCUCUUGUUAGGUGAGCAGAAUAAUGAGCUCUUAUUAAAGAAUCACCAAUCUCGCCCAACGGGCUCAGCACCACUUCCUGAAAUAAAUGCUGCAUCUCAGGAAGUGAAUGCCACUUCAUCUCGUGGCAGUAUCCACAAACGUGGGCGAGGGGGCAAGCAUGGCCACUGGUAAGGAAGUAGAAAAAAUCGUGGUGCUCGUUCAGAGGGCUUAGGUCCAAGGAGCGGUCCAUCCACGAAUGGCAAAAAUGCAUCCCGUAAUAAGGGAAAGGCACAUAUGAGCCAUGUGCCUAGAAAUGUUGAAAGCCCUUGUCACAGAUGUGGUGCAAAGGGACAUUGGAUGCGCGCAUGUCGUACGCCCAGGCAUUUGGCGGAUCUCUAUCAAGCUUCACUUAAGAACUGGAAAGUGGAGAUAAAUUACAUUGAUCAUGCUCCGCCAGCCACAGAUGGCUCAUCAGAAAUAUCACGUCAGCUAAACAAGACGCAUCUAGGUGUUUCUGAUUUUGUUACUGAAAGAGGGAAUGAAGGUUAUGUGUCCGAAUUAGAUUAAAUUCCUUAAUAUACUACUUGUAUUAGCUGAAGUGUUGUUUAAAUUUCAAUACAAUAAAAGUGGUAAUGUUUUCUUCUUUAUUAAUCCAGCUUAUUUUACUUAUUUGGUGGCAUGGAUGCAAAUUAUGGAUGCCCUCAAAACGAAGGCUAUGACAGAGAUAUUUGUCUCGCAGACAGCGCAACUACUCAUAUGAUCUUUCAAGAUCGGAAGUAUUUCUCAAAAUUAAUGCUUACAAAAGUAAAGGUAACAACCAUAUCAGGUCCUGCAGAUCUGAUUGAAGGUUCAGGAAUAGCCCAAAUUAUGUUACCGAAUGGAACAAUACUGUCCAUUCCAGAUGCUUUGUAUUCACCUAACUCCAGAAGGAAUCUGUUGAGUUUCAAAGAUAUACGUUUGAAUGGCUACCAUGUUGAAACAAAGAAAGAGGAAAACAUGGAAUAUCUUUGUAUUACCUCCAGUGAUACUCAAAAGCAUAUACUGGAAAAGCUUUGUGAGCUCUCAUCAGGGUUGUAUUACACAACCAUACGGACAAUUGAGGCACAUAGUGUCAUGGACCAAGAGUCCACUGACUCAAAUGCUUUUAAGCUUUGGCAUGACAGGUUGGGUCAUCCUGGAUCCACCAUGAUGCGCAGGAUCAUCACCAACUCUAAAGGACAUCCCUUGUUGACUAAACACAUUAUGUUAUCAAGCGACAUCUUUUGCCAAGCUUGUUCACAAGGGAAGUUGGUGAUCAGACCAUCACAACCAAAGGUUGAUGUUGAGUCUCCAUCAUUUUUGCAGAGAAUUCAAGGGGACAUUUGUGGACCCAUUCAUCCCCCAUGUGGACCAUUUCGAUACUUUAUGGUCUUGGUAGACGCAUCUACCCGAUGGUCACAUGUUUGUCUUUUAUCUACUCGGAAUAUGGCAUUUGCUAGGCUUUUGGCUCAGAUAAUUAAAUUACGAGCCCAAUUCUCAGAUUAUCCCAUUAAGUCAAUCAGACUCGAUAAUGCUGGUGAAUUUACAUCUCAGACUUUUGAUGACUACUGCAUGUCACUAGGCAUUGAUAUUGAACAUCCUGUUCCCCAUGUGCAUACUCAAAAUGGCUUGGCAGAAGCUUUAAUUAAACGCCUUCAAUUGAUAGCACGCACUUUGCUAAUGAAAACAAAGUUGCCAGUUUCUGCUUGGGGAUAUGCCAUUUUACAUGCAGCAUCGCUUGUGCGAUUGAGGCCCGUCACCAACAAUCAAUGUUCUCCAAUACAACUCGUAUUGGGAAAUCAACCAAACAUUUCACAUUUAAGAAUUUUUGGGUGUGCGGUAUAUGUGCCCAUUGCACCACCGCAACGUACUAAGAUGGGCCCUCAAAGCAGAUUGGGAAUUUAUAUUGGUUUUGAUUCACCAUCUAUCAUCAGAUACUUGGCACCCCUGACGGGUGAUAUUUUUACCGCACGAUUUGCGGAUUGUGAUUUUGAUGAGACAAUCUUCCCACCAUUAGGGGGAGAAAAAUCUGUGUCUAAAGAACAAGGCAAACUCAUUCCUGAAAAACGACAUGAAUUAUCCUGGAAUGUAUCCACAUUGUCUCAUCUCGAUCCUCAUACUGCUCAAUGCGAAAAUGAAGUGAGAAGGAUCGUUCACCUCCAAAGUAUUGCCAAUCAGAUGCCAGAUGCAUUUAAUGAUGCAGCAAAGGUGACGAAAUCUCAUAUCCCAGCUGCAAAUGCACCCGCACGGAUUGAUGUCCAUAAUGGACAAAGCAAUGUCCCAGCAAAUGGUUCAUCUGCUGCACGCCUAAAACGUGGCAGACCACUAGGCUCAAAGGAUUCAAUUCCUCGAAAGAGGAAGUUGAUGGACAAAAUGAAUCCAAAUGAAAUAAAUAGAGAGCCCACAAUUCAUAAUUCAAAUGCCCCCAAAGAGGGACAUGUACUUCUUGACAAGGAAAACGUCAUUGGUGAGACAAGUGCCCCUGGAGUGGCAACCGUACCUGAAAGUCAAGAAAUCUCCAUAAAUUAUACGUCCACUGAUGAAUUGUGGAGUAGAAAUGAGAUGAUCAUCGAUGAUAUAUUUGCAUUCUCAGUGGCUGCUAAGAUCAUAAAAGAUGAUGAUAUUGAGCCGUGCUCUAUUAAUGAAUGUACACAGAGGCAAGAUUGGCCCAAGUGGAAAGAUGCAAUCCAGGCAGAAUUAAAUUCUUUGGAAAAAAGGAGUGUUUUUGGACAUAUUAGUCCAACUCCACCCAAUGUGAACCCUGUAGGUUACAAGUGGGUAUUUACAAGAAAGCGCAAUGAGAAAAAUGAGAUCUCAAGGUAUAAAGCGCGACUCGUUGCGCAAGGUUUUUCACAAAGGCCUGGAAUUGAUUAUGUGGAAACAUACUCUCCAGUAAUGGACACAAUUACAUUCCGUUACCUAAUAAGUUUGGCGGUUUCAGAAAAACUUGAAAUGAGACUCCUGGAUGUCAUUACCGCAUAUUUGUAUGGAGAAUUGGAUACAGAUAUAUACAUGAAAGUUCCAGAAGGAUUCAGGUUGCCUGAAGCAGCCAGAAACAAACCACGGGACAUGUUCUCAGUUAAAUUGAGAAAAUCAUUAUAUGGGCUAAAACAAUCUGGACGAAUGUGGUACAAUCGUCUCAGUAAGUAUUUAUUGAAGGAAGGAUACACAAAUGAUCCUAUUUGCCCAUGUGUGUUUAUUAAGAAAUCAGAGUCUGGAUUUGCGAUAGUGGCAGUAUAUGUCGACGACAUGAAUCUAAUUGGAACUUCUGAAGAGCUUCAAAAGACUGUUGAUUAUCUCAAACGUGAAUUUGAGAUGAAGGACCUUGGAAAGACAAAAUAUUGUCUUGGCUUGCAGAUUGAGCACAGUGCUAAUGGAAUUUUGGUGCAUCAAUCAACUUAUACUGAGAAAGUAUUGGAACGGUUUGGCAUGGAUAAAGCCCAUCCACUUAGCACUCCAAUGGUCGUUCGAUCGCUUGACACUAAGAAAGACCCAUAUCGUCCAAAAGAGAAUGAUGAAAUGGUCCUUGGUCCAGAAGUACCAUAUCUUAGUGCAAUAGGUGCUUUAUUGUACCUAGCACAAUGUACCAGACCAGACAUAUCAUUCUCAGUAAAUCUGUUAGCAAGGUACAGUUCUGCUCCAACAAGGCGACACUGGACCGGCAUCAAACAUGUUCUACGAUACCUUCGUGGGACAACAGACAUGGGGUUAUUCUAUUCCAAAACUUGGGGAACAUCAUAAUACGGUGGGAGGAGUCAUUUGGUUGGUUUUGAGUGAAAUCCAAUCUCUAUAGCUAUGCAAUACACCAACCACUACAUUUCAUAACGAACUUCGUACGAUCCUGAAUUGUCCAAUUUCAUGGACCAAUCGAUAUCGGAUUGAGUCCAAAACUUGUGGAACAUCGUAAUAUGGUGGGAGGAGUCAUUUGGUGGGUGUUGAGGGAAAUCCAAUCUCCAGAUCUAUGCAAUACACCAAGCAUUCCAUUUCAGAACGAAGUUCAUACGAACCUAAAUUGUUCAAUUUCGUGGACCAAUCGAUAUCAGAUUGAGUUUGAAACUUGGGGAACGUCAUAAUAUGGUGGAAGGAGUCAUUUUGUGGGUUUUGAGUGAAAUCCAAUCUCUACAACUAUGCAAUACACCAACCACUCCAUUUUUGUUGUGUUCCUUCCAUGUUACUAGUUUUGAAAGAACCCUGACUAAAAAUUUCUUUGGCGAGCGGUCUCUAAUAGUCUCCCUUCCUUCUUAAAUCUCUAUAAGCGUAAGUUGUCCUCUUCGUAUUUAUGUCCUAUUUGUUUGGAGAGUCCUGAAUCAAUUGAAUAUAUGCUAGUCCUUUGUCCUUGGAUAGCGUCUGUUUGGUUUGGAAGUGCAAUUGGCUAUCGUGUGGAUUUGCAAAGUUUUACUUCUUUGGAUAGAUGGUUGGGCAGUCUCUUGACAUGGGAGAGUAUGUUCUCACCCAAUUCUAUGUGGAAGGAUCGAUGGGCAGUCUCUUUUGUCGGUUGUUGCUUUCACUUGUUGGCAUAUUUGGAAGGAUCGAUGUAAAUUUGUUUACAAUGAUAUCCCAAUUGUGCCUGCAGCUACUAGAUCUCGUGCUUGUUUGGCGGUGUCAGAAUUUUGGAAUGUUACAAAGAAGCUAGUUCUUGGGUCAGUGGGUAUGCCUAUUCAAAUUUCUUCUCUUCAUAUCCUUCUUAUUGGCUACCCCCCAUUUCUUCUUAUGUUAAGAUUAAUACUGAUGGGUCUUGGAAGUCUGCUUCUGCUAUGGCUGGAGUUGGAGUUAUUAUUCGGAAGAUUGCUGGUUCUUGUAUUGGGGGUCUUGUUGCUCAGGUGCGUGCCCAAUCUCCACUUAUGGUUGAAGUUUUGGCCCUAAAACAUGGUCUUUUGAGAGCUAAAGAGUUGAAUUUGGUUAAUGUUGUGGUGGAAUCUAAUUCUCAAGUGGCUAUUAAUUCUGUUCAGAGGGAUGUUUCUUCCUUUAAUUGGGAGUUGCAUCCUGUCAUUAAGGAUAUUAGGUUUAUUAAAGCCUAUUUCACAAAUCUGAAUUGGGCAUGGGUGCUCCGUGAAGCGAACCAGUCUGCGAAUGCCGUUGUCUCGCUUGCCAAGAAGGGGAUGUGCUUGGAGUUGUGGCUUGUGUGACCUCCAUUCUCUCUGGUUCAUAUUUUAUCUCGAGAUAGUCUUCCUUGCCCUCCGCUUGAUGCUUAAUCUUUUGUUGUGUGGUUUUUCGUUUGUUUAGUUCUUUUGGCUUGUUUUAGUUCUUUGGUUUGGUAUGUCUGUUCUGUUUGUUUGGUUGGGUUUGGCUCCCCUUUGGGCCUUUGCCGGUUAACUUUUAUGGUAUCUUUGUUGACCCAAAAAAAAUAAAAAAAAAGAGGGAAGAAUCACGGACUUUGUAUACAGUUAUGUCGGUUAGUUUAUUAUUUUACAGCUAUGUCGGUUAGUUUAUUAUAUUACAAUACUUUGAUUAGUUUAUACUAAAGCAUGCUUUUGAUAUCAAGAUAUUUUGGAGUCAACCGACUUUGUUAAGUUGGUUUGUUCAUUCUCAAUUAUUCUAGACUAUUCUAUAUUAUUCAAGAUUUUUCUAUGUUCGUAAAAGUGGGGAUUACUUUUUUAACAAAAGUCUACAUUUCGUUUUCAAUAUGCCUUUUGUUUUAAAGGUACCAAGUUCUCGCUGGAGUAAUCGAACAACGAAUUCUACAACCCUUGCUAUACCAACACAAGAUUAUCCUCAGUGCAAUUUGCUUUGCUGUUCGAACUGGCAAUACAUUCUUGGGGUCCUUGAUGUAAGAUCUGAGUUCUCCUUCAAUUUCACCAUGUUAGUUGGUGUGCUUUACUCUUCAAAUCUCAUAAUUCUUUAUAUUGUGGAACAGCUGGGUUGAUUAUGCAAGGUGGGUUGGAAUUCAAAAGAUACGAGAUUAGAGCAUAGGGUAGAUUACAUGAUUGUUGUAAGUAAUUUUAUUUUUUGUGUGGAUAUUGAUUUUGUUUAUGAAAUUAUAGUGCGGUAACCUUCCGAUAAAAAUGCAAGAGAUGGGCAUUUAGAAAAUAAACUAGCAACCAAGAGAUAUCGCCUGUAUGCUUCCAUCCUGGUGGGGUGGACAAUCAGCCCAAGCAUGGUCUUCGCCAAUUAACCCAUUUGUUUUCUUUAUUUCAUUUUUGUUUAAAUAUUGGCAUAUAUAGAUUAUAAUAGUCUAGACAGAUAAUUGAACUCUUAGAAUGUCAUAUUAUCCCCAUUUGAAAUCCAGAUGGCCGUAGAUUCAUUCAUCAUAUAUAAAAUAUCUUAUUGAUUAACUGUUACUGGUGAAUGUCACUCAUAAAAAUGGUUAGGACAUGCAUAAACAUGUCAACUCAGCUCAACAUAUAAUCCUAUAGAGAACAAAAAUUCAGAAUCGGCUAAGAGUCUAAGACCCAACAUAAUUGAGAUGACAUGCAAACACCAAAGAAUAUAAGUAAUUCCUAAUGAGCCAAAAGAAACAAAGAAAACAACAAACAAUGAAGAUGUCAGCACAACCAAAUUGGUCAUCAACAAUUCAGUGCCUAAGCAAGGGUGCAUAUCUUAUUUGAUUGAGGAUGGAAUAAGAAUUCUGUAUAUGAAUAUGUAAUAUCUCAUUGCUGCUGAAAGUAGCAAUGGGUGGUUUCAACUCUUUCUGCAAAGAGGACAAUACCAUUGUAGGCGUCACACUCGAAUCAAGGAGCAAGCAAAACAUCUGGAGAGAAAACCCCGGCAGCAGUUUCUUGAGAAGCUUGAAGGGAUGGGAGUUUGAAGACUAUUCAGGCACAACACAACAUCGGCUUCCGUAAGCUGUAUAUAGCAUCUGAAUAUUGAAAGCGUUCCUGCCAAUUCAGAAGCACAUUCUUUAAACAGAACACGGCAACCUCACUUGUAUUUUUCAGCAUGAUUCAAAAGAUAAUUUGGUAAAUCAUCAAAAUAAAGAUGAAGCUUCGUUGCACAUAUAAUAUCUCAGUGCAAAUAUCAAGAAUUUGUCACAAGUAUCUGGCAGGUUCAGUCGAUAUUUCUAUUUAAAAGAACAAAGAACAACACUUGGUUACUUGAUGUCCUUUAAAAACUGCUAGCUCUACAAGUCCUCUAAAGAUUGUACAGGGGUCAGGGUUCAAAUCUUAAGUUAAGAUUAAGAAACCUAACAAGUUGAAUAAAAGGCAGAGAAUUAUGAAAAACAUAAACAUUGUAUACAACCAAACAAAAGAAAGAAAAAUAUGGGUAAAAGUUUUCUCAGCAGAGAGAUGGCAAAAUAUUACAAGGCAAACCAAAUGGCAAAAUAUUAAACAUCUGAAACUUGCAACAGAAAGGUAGUGAUUUACCAUCUUCAGUUGAUGUUACCACGAUAUGAAAUGACCUUGUUGCUAUCCAGUCCUUUUCACAGCUCUUCACCCUGCAGCUCCGGAAGUAAGAGAGGCAGUCCCUUCUUUCAACCCUCUCACACUGGACCAGACAUCAUGCGAGGACUGGGUCCAGGAUAAAUAUUUUCCACCCAAUUUUAUCGAGGCCUUAAAAAGAGUAAAUCGCAGUGGGAG